AAGUCGUAACAAGGUUUCCGUAGGUGAACCUGCGGAAGGAUCAUUAACACGUAUCCACGUAUCCACCCUGAGUGCACCCGUUGUCGCCUCUCCCUGCUGUCGCUGGUUGGACACGCUCGGCCGAUUGAGUGGGACUCUCCCGAAAGGGCGAGCCGCGGCCGAACGAACAUCUGUGCGUGCUGUCACAAGCGCAAACGUACGACUAGCGACUCAGGCUUAUUCUUAGCGCUCCGAGCUCCAUUCAAGCGCGGCGCGUUAGGAGUCCACCUUCACCUCUGUCACCCCCUUUUUGCUAGUUGACUUUUUUAUCUGUGUCGCGCUGCGAGAAUUUCGGUUCUUCGCGUCGUGUGCACACGUUUAAUUAUUUGAACGUAAAAACAACAACUCUUAGCAAUGGAUAUCUUGGUUCUC
rnacentral:misc_RNA from 1 species